rnacentral:rRNA from 1 species
ACGGCAGCGCGGGGCAACCUGGCGGCGAGUGGCGAACGGGUGAGUAAUAUAUCGGAACGUACCCAAGAGUGGGGGAUAACGUAGCGUAAGUUACGCUAAUACCGCAUACGAUCUAAGGAUGAAAGCAGGGGAUCUUCGGACCUCGUGCUCCUGGAGCGGCCGAUAUCUGAUUAGCUAGUUGGUGAGGUAAAGGCUCACCAAGGCCACGAUCAGUAGCUGGUCUGAGAGGACGACCAGCCACACUGGAACUGAGACACGGUCCAGACUCCUACGGGAGGCAGCAGUGGGGAAUUUUGGACAAUGGGCGAAAGCCUGAUCCAGCAAUGCCGCGUGAGUGAAGAAGGCCUUCGGGUUGUAAAGCUCUUUUGUCAGGGAAGAAACGGUUUGGGCUAAUAUCCUGAGCUAAUGACGGUACCUGAAGAAUAAGCACCGGCUAACUACGUGCCAGCAGCCGCGGUAAUACGUAGGGUGCAAGCGUUAAUCGGAAUUACUGGGCGUAAAGCGUGCGCAGGCGGUUUUGUAAGUCUGACGUGAAAUCCCCGGGCUCAACCUGGGAAUUGCGUUGGAGACUGCAAGGCUAGAAUCUGGCAGAGGGGGGUAGAAUUCCACGUGUAGCAGUGAAAUGCGUAGAGAUGUGGAGGAACACCGAUGGCGAAGGCAGCCCCCUGGGUCAAGAUUGACGCUCAUGCACGAAAGCGUGGGGAGCAAACAGGAUUAGAUACCCUGGUAGUCCACGCCCUAAACGAUGUCUACU